UCCGGAGCCUGUGCUCCACAAUGGAAGAGGCCACAACAGUGAGAGGCCCGCGUACCGCAAAAAAAAAAAGAAUAACAAAUUGAAUUGUCAGCGUUUUGGGUAGCAUCUUUUGCUAAAGCUUAAACAGAUGUUUGAACACUAACUGUGAAUUUCAUUUUACUUCAUAAAAAUAUUACUCUACACUUGAUCUGAAGGAUCUUCCCUCCCAGCAAGACUCAGAGUUGAGAAAACAUAGAAAUAUUCAUUUACUCAGGUGGUAGGUGGAGGGAGGUGGGGUGGGGAUUGAACUCAGCUAUGUCAUUCUUUUCAUCUAACUUUCCAACAGUUCUCUUUUCUUUCCCAGUUUUUUUUAACUCUUUAUUGUGCAGAUCAACUUAACCUCUAAAGCUUCUCUUUUUCCAGGCUCUGAAUUUAGAAUCAUAAUGACCUGAAUCAUAAAGUUGGGGACCAGGGUAGUAUACCCCAAAAUGUGCCUUGGUGGCAUAUUGAUUAUUUUGAAUUAAAGUUACUUAAGAGAUAGCCAAUGCAAGAGGGAUACUCCGACCCUGCUUUCUGUCUCCCUGAAAGCAGGUGCACGCCCUGCAUCUGGAGGUAGGCCUCCCUUGUCUCCAGAAUUUGAGGCCAAGAAGCCUGUAUAAACAAAGAUUGUUACUUCUUUAAUUCACUACCCCGAUCCCAAACUCUGUUUUGAUUCUUCACUCACUGGGUGGGUACCUAAAACCUAAGUUUUUUUGUCCUAUCAAUUCCUCACAAAAUGUAUUGUUUCUUUGUCUAAAAAGUAUAAAAGCUGCCUACUUUGGCCACUUCUUAGUUCCCAUUUUAUGAGACCUCCAUGCUCAUGAAUUAAAAUUUGCUCCUUUUCUGUUGCUAACCUGUCUUGUGUCAAUGUUAUUAUCAGUUCAGCCACAAGAACUCAAGAUGAGUAGAGGGGGCAAUUCCCCCCUCUCUAACAGUUGGCGAGUCAGGCAGGAGCUGGCUGGACCUUGUUUCCUGCCUUAAAGCUGCUGCAACUGAGAAAUCCUGGACAUUUGACAAAGGCCAACAGAAGAUACAAGGACUUUUUUAAAGACUUACAGCAACUUAGUAAAUUAUACCUUUGUAAGCAGAAUUGAAACAUUUAUCUUUUUCUCCAUACCUGAUCACUUCAGAAUUCAGAAACUCUCAGCCUUGAGAAGCAUUUAAAGUUCAAUCUGGAAAUUCAUUAUGAAAAGUUCAAGCACAGCAGAUUUAAAAGAGCCUAUAUGGGGACUUUGCUGAUGGCGCAGUGGUUAAGAACCUGCCUGCCAAUGCAGGGGACACGGGUUCGAUCCCUGGUCCAGGAGGAUCCCACAUGCCACGGAGCA